rnacentral:rRNA from 1 species
UGGGGAAUCUUCCGCAAUGGACGAAAGUCUGACGGAGCAACGCCGCGUGAGUGAUGACGGCCUUCGGGUUGUAAAGCUCUGUUAAUCGGGACGAAUGGUUCUUGUGCGAAUAGUGCGAGGAUUUGACGGUACCGGAAUAGAAAGCCACGGCUAACUACGUGCCAGCAGCCGCGGUAAUACGUAGGUGGCAAGCGUUGUCCGGAAUUAUUGGGCGUAAAGCGCGCGCAGGCGGAUCAGUUAGUCUGUCUUAAAAGUUCGGGGCUUAACCCCGUGAUGGGAUGGAAACUGCUGAUCUAGAGUAUCGGAGAGGAAAGUGGAAUUCCUAGUGUAGCGGUGAAAUGCGUAGAUAUUAGGAAGAACACCAGUGGCGAAGGCGACUUUCUGGACGAAAACUGACGCUGAGGCGCGAAAGCCAGGGGAGCGAACGGGAUUAGAUACCCCGGUAGUCCUGGCCGUAAACGAUGGGUACUAGGUGUAGGAGGUAUCGACCCCUUCUGUGCCGGAGUUAACGCAACAAGUACCCCGCCUGGGGAGUACGACCGCAAGGUU